rnacentral:rRNA from 1 species
UACGGAGGGUGCAAGCGUUAUCCGGAAUCACUGGGUUUAAAGGGUGCGUAGGCGGCAAAAUAAGUCAGAGGUGAAAGCCCGGCGCUCAACGUCGGAAUUGCCUUUGAUACUGUUAUGCUUGAAUCAGGUUGAGGUCGGCGGAAUGUGACAUGUAGCGGUGAAAUGCAUAGAUAUGUCAUAGAACACCAAUUGCGAAGGCAGCUGGCUAGAUCUGUAUUGACGCUGAGGCACGAAAGCGUGGGGAGCGAAC